UACUGACAUGUUUAGUGCGGUUACUGUAGCUUCAGUUUCCAAACCUACAGUACCUGACGACGUGCAAAAACAGGUGAACAUAGAAGAACAUGGAGACACCUGUCAGGCAGAGGAGCAGCAGGUGUCUGACAGUGAAGUCAGUGAGGGACAGAGUAAGCAGGAGAGUAUAAUAGAAGCGGAUGCCCUCAUUAUUGUGGUUCAUUGUUCAUAGUUUUUGAGGGUGUUCAGAGGGCCAUGCAAGCCCUACUCCACUGCCACCUUUGAUCACCAGAGAGUCAGUCAAGAGAGAGUGAGUACACUGGUCCACUUGCACUUACUACUCAGCUUUGUAGGGGCUUUCGGGAAUGAAACAGUAGGUAUGCAUAUUUACAGGGACCGCAAGGAAGGUGUACUCGUGGGUGGUGUCCGACCGAUUGUGGUGGGCCGGUCUGAGCAAAAAU